AUCCCAGAUAAGCUAUCGAGUGCUUAUACUGAUUCAUGGGAGGCCAAAAUCGACAUUUUGGAAGUUUCGCUGAUAAAUGCCGAUCUCGUUUUAUCCAAUCAAGGCGUUUACUAGUAACUUUGCCAUACAUUC